UUAAGUUCAGCGGGUAUUCCUACCUGAUCCGAGGUCAACCAUAGAUAUUGGGGGGGUUUUACGGCCGGAGAGAGCCGCGGUUCCAGAACGAGGUAGUGCUACUGCGUUCGGUUCCACGGCUGACCCGCCGCUGUCUUUGGGGGCCUGCCGCUGGGCGGCAGCGCCCCAACACCAGGCAGGGCCUGAGGGUUGAAAUGACG
rnacentral:misc_RNA from 1 species